rnacentral:rRNA from 1 species
UAAUUGAAGAGUUUGAUCAUGGCUCAGAUUGAACGCUGGCGGCAGGCCUAACACAUGCAAGUCGAGCGAAUGAGGGUAGCUUGCUACCUGAUUUAGCGGCGGACGGGUGAGUAAUGUAUAGGGAGCUGCCCGAUAGAGGGGGAUACCAGUUGGAAACGACUGUUAAUACCGCAUAAUGUCUACGGACCAAAGUGUGGGACCUUCGGGCCACAUACUAUCGGAUGCACCUAUAUGGGAUUAGCUAGUUGGUGGGGUAAUGGCUCACCAAGGCGACGAUCCCUAGCUGGUUUGAGAGGAUGAUCAGCCACACUGGGACUGAGACACGGCCCAGACUCCUACGGGAGGCAGCAGUGGGGAAUAUUGGACAAUGGGCGCAAGCCUGAUCCAGCCAUGCCGCGUGUGUGAAGAAGGCCUUCGGGUUGUAAAGCACUUUCAGCGAGGAGGAAGGGGUAUGUGUUAAUAGCGCAUAUUCUUGACGUUACUCGCAGAAGAAGCACCGGCUAACUCCGUGCCAGCAGCCGCGGUAAUA